rnacentral:lncRNA from 1 species
AUGCCCAAGCCCAUCUGUUUAGGGAGCGAACAAAUGGGCAACAAGCGGAAGAAACUUUGCAUCUGCCUGGUAGGUGCCUUCAUCCUCAUAUUAGCUGCCAUAUUAAUCACUCUCACCUGCUGUGUGGUCGAGUGCCAGGGGCAGCUGAAGACCUCAGAUCUGGAUGAGAAACUCGCCAACCUGCAGGAGGAGAAGAGGUCCCUGGAAAAGCAGCGGGAUGGGGUGAGGGCAGAUGUCACGGCGCUGCGGUCAGAACUGGCCGCCACCAAUCAGACCCUUUGGGAGACGCGCGGGCGCUGGGACUUCUGCAGGAGCCUGACGCAUAAGCUGCAGAACAACAUCACUGCCCUGAGCGACAAAAUCACACAGCUGGAAGCCAGAGACUCUGAGCGGGAGGCCAAGGAACAAGGUUUACAAGAGAUCAGCUCGAAGCUAACAUCCAUUGGCUGA